rnacentral:rRNA from 1 species
UACGGAGGGUGCAAGCGUUAUCCGGAUUCACUGGGUUUAAAGGGUGCGUAGGUGGGCAGGUAAGUCAGUGGUGAAAUCUCUGGGCUUAACCCAGAAACUGCCGUUGAUACUAUCUGUCUUGAAUAUAGUGGAGGUGAGCGGAAUAUGUCAUGUAGCGGUGAAAUGCUUAGAUAUGACAUAGAACACCAAUUGCGAAGGCAGCUCGCUACACUAUUAUUGACACUGAGGCACGAAAGCGUGGGGGAUCAAACAGG